UACGUAGGGACCGAGCGUUGUCCGGAUUCAUUGGGCGUAAAGAGCUCGUAGGCGGCUUGGCAAGUCGGAUGUGAAAACUCCAGGCUCAACCUGGAGCCGCCAUUCGAUACUGCUAUGGCUAGAGUCCGGUAGGGGAGUGUGGAAUUCCCGGUGUAGCGGUGAAAUGCGCAGAUAUCGGGAGGAACACCGAUGGCGAAGGCAGCACUCUGGGCCGGUACUGACGCUGAGGAGCGAAAGCGUGGGGAGCGAACAGG
rnacentral:rRNA from 1 species